rfam:Schistosoma mansoni strain Puerto Rico chromosome 6, complete genome
AUCCAGCUGACGAGUCCCAAAUAGGACGAAAAGCGCUUCCUGGAU